rnacentral:ncRNA from 1 species
UUGUUUGCGAUGAUUGGGAAGAGUAUCGGUAUGGAACCUUUUUAGCGAGCCGACGGGGGUGCAAGGUCGGUAAGGGGAGUACACGAGAAUGGGCCCAGGAGCUGCCAACCGAAUUACAAGUAGGCUUGGCCGGGUUCUUCUACCGUUAUCAUAGAAGCCAUAUCGGUGACUUUGCCUGUAUGGAAAAUAAGAGACUGGAUUAUCAGUCUAAAUUAGGGUGGCACCACGGAGAAAACCUUCGUCCCUUGG